UGACAACCUCCGUGUGAUGGUUUGGAAAUUCACCAGCAGGCCCAUGCAGUACUCAAAGAGAAGGAACUUGACCAACUCAGCAACCUCCAAGAAGCCAAAGCAGAAAGAACAUGGGAAGCUUUGGUGCUGACUUCUGCCACCUUCAGACCAGCUCGUUGGAAAUGGGAGAAAAUGUAAUGCAUGGACAUCAUUAUGUAGAAGACUAAUUAUGAGAAGUGUGAAAAAUUAUAGAAAAUGUCUAUCUACGUGUUAAGGAUGGAAAAACAAACUCAGAAGCCAGGCACUGAAGAGAGAAAAUGAAGGAAAUACUUCAAGUGUUGUCUGACUGCCAAUGGGAAACGUGCAGUGGCAAUGACCUGCUGCAAAACAACGGGCACUGCCUGGAAGUGGAAGAACAAGACAGGACAGAUAAACGGGACAAACAGAAUUCUUAUGAAGCAGCACGUCUGAAGUGGUUGGAUCCUGGUCUGCAGCAGCAUUCUUGGGCAUUGAAACUGGCCAUUGAUCCCGUGCAAUUGUACCUGCCACACACUAACAAUUGCCUGUCAUGAUUCUGGAGUCAUGUGGCCCAGACGUCCUCCUGGUUUUUCAAUACCAUGUUUUCUCUUCAAGAGAGAUUAUCAGUAGUGAUAGGAGAAAUUCCAUUACAUAGGCCAAAGAGUGGUCAUUAGCUUGUUAAUUCAGGCACUCACUUUGCUGAGGUUGAUCAAUAAAACAUAGCUGGGGAGAAAGCAAAAGCCCUGGGCACACUCCCACCCCUGAGUAAGAGAAAAGCUGUUUCUUUGGGACCAAAUGUAGAUGAAGUGAGAACAUCUUUCAGAGACUGAAUCUUGGUUUAACAAGCAUACUAGAUAUACAUCUUCUGAUCUUUCUCAUCUUCUUGUGAUGUAUAAAGAUGAUUGAGAUUUAAAAUUGAAGAAUUAAACAGCAUAAUGAAAAGAGAGAAUUAAAACCAGAGCCUGAAUGAUCCCGUGACAAAGGACAGAUGUAGAAGAGGACAGACUGCGAAAGUCCUCUUUUUAACCUUUUCAAGAAGUUAAAAAGCAUAAUUUUACUUGGAUGCUUCCAAGAUGAUGCAUACAUUUAAUUAUGGAUGCUGGUAACAUCAAAACAUGACAGCAAAACAUGACAAUGCUGGCGCU
rnacentral:lncRNA from 1 species